GGAGGUGCGAAGAACAACGUUUAUUGAUCUCUGUAUGCAACCCCCAACCCGCCCUGGUUGUUGGGGGGGAGGGGGGAAGGGGAAAGGGGGGUGUCGCCUUCCUCAUAGCGCGGGGCCGCCGUCGCCGCCCGGCAGUUCGGGGCCUGCCAGGACGCGCCGCUCCACGCCGGCCUCAGUGAUGGCCGCCAGGCGGAUGACGCCGCCGCUCGAGCCGUCCCGCGCCAUGGCCAGGGAUAGAGCCCUGGCUGUGAACUCCUCGCACUCCUCCCUGCUCAUCCCACGGCGGAACGCGGCGUCCACGAACCCAUAGAUGUAGGAACUGCCCGACCCCCCCACGGCGAAGGGCUGACGCAGCAGCAUCCCCCCCAUGGGCACCACGUACACCUGCCCGCCGCGCCGCCGAUCCCAGCCGGCCACGAUGAUGCCGGCGCUGAGCUCCUCUCGGUAGCGGUAACAGCUCUGCUGGAACAGGCAGGCGGCCGUGCGCACGCGGGGGGGCUCCUCCAACUCUAUGCUAUGGAAGGCGAGCUGAUAGGCCACAGCGUCGGCCACGGCCUGCGUGUCGGCAGCAGAGCCCGAGCGGCAGCAGAAGAUGCGAUGAUGGACAGCUGUCAGUUUGUCCGUCACGCGGUUGGCCACGUAGGACCCCGUGGUGGUCCGCGAGUCGGCCCCGAUGACGACACCGCCGUCGAACUCCACUGCCAUGAUGGUGGUUCCAGUGCUGACGGCCUCCCUCGUCCAAUCGCGGUGCAACGCCGCGGACCCCGGGCCGCCCCACACCGCGGCCUCAGCUCCGGUUCCGGUUCCGGCCUCGUCCCACGGCCCCAUCGCCGUCCCGGUCCCGGCCCAGGGCUCGGCCGCCGCCGACCGCACAGUCACCGCCGCCAUGUUCCUCCGCG
rnacentral:lncRNA from 1 species